rnacentral:rRNA from 1 species
GAUGAACGCUGGCGGCGUGCCUAAUACAUGCAAGUCGAGCGAACAGAUGAGGAGCUUGCUCCUCUGACGUUAGCGGCGGACGGGUGAGUAACACGUGGAUAACCUACCUAUAAGACUGUGAUAACUUCGGGAAACCGGAGCUAAUACCGGAUAAUAUAUUGAACCGCAUGGUUCAAUAGUGAAAGACGGUUUUGCUGUCACUUAUAGAUGGAUCCGCGCCGCAUUAGCUAGUUGGUAAGGUAACGGCUUACCAAGGCAACGAUGCGUAGCCGACCUGAGAGGGUGAUCGGCCACACUGGAACUGAGACACGGUCCAGACUCCUACGGGAGGCAGCAGUAGGGAAUCUUCCGCAAUGGGCGAAAGCCUGACGGAGCAACGCCGCGUGAGUGAUGAAGGUCUUCGGAUCGUAAAACUCUGUUAUUAGGGAAGAACAAAUGUGUAAGUAACUAUGCACGUCUUGACGGUACCUAAUCAGAAAGCCACGGCUAACUACGUG